rnacentral:rRNA from 1 species
GUGCCAGCCGCCGCGGUAAUACCGGCAGCUCGAGUGAUGUCCAAUAUUAUUGGGCCUAAAGCGUCCGUAGCUGGCCGCGCAAGUCCGUCGGGAAACCUACCUGCCCAACAGGUGGGCGUCCGGUAGAAACUGGCCGGCUUGGAACCGGAAGGCUCAGAGAGUACGUCCGGGGUAGGAGUGAAAUCCCGUAAUCCCGGACGGACUACCGAUGGCGAAAGCACUCUGAGAAGACGGCUUCGACAGUGAGGGACGAAAGCUCGGGUCUCAAACCGGAUUAGAUACCCCGGUAGUCC